rnacentral:rRNA from 1 species
UUUAAUUCGAAGCAACGCGAAGAACCUUACCAGGCCUUGACAUGCAGAGAACUUUCCAGAGAUGGAUUGGUGCCUUCGGGAACUCUGACACAGGUGCUGCAUGGCUGUCGUCAGCUCGUGCCGUGAGAUGUUGGGUUAAGUCCCGCAACGAGCGCAACCCUUGUCCUUAGUUGCCAGCACGUAAUGGUGGGAACUCUAAGGAGACCGCCGGUGACAAACCGGAGGAAGGUGGGGAUGACGUCAAGUCAUCAUGGCCCUUACGGCCAGGGCUACACACGUACUACAAUGGAGCGGACAGAGGGCUGCAAUCCCGCGAGGGUGAGCCAAUCCCAGAAAACCGAUCGUAGUCCGGAUCGCAGUCUGCAACUCGACUGCGUGAAGUCGGAAUCGCUAGUAAUCGCGAAUCAGAAUGUCGCGGUGAAUACGUUCCCGGGCCUUGUACACACCGCC